rnacentral:misc_RNA from 1 species
GAUGAAGAACGCAGCGAAAUGCGAUAAGUAAUGUGAAUUGCAGAAUUCAGUGAAUCAUCGAAUCUUUGAACGCAUCUUGCGCUCCUUGGUAUUCUGAGGAGCAUGCCUGUUUGAGUGUCAUUAAAGUUCUCAACCACACAUACUACAUAUGUGGCUUGGAUGUGGGGGUUUGCAGGCUUUCUCUGAGGGUCUGCUCCUCUGAAAUGCAUUAGUGGUAUUCCUGAGCUUUACUACAGAUGUGAUAAUUUAUCUACAUCCCAAAAGUAUGCUUCAGCAACACCGCUCCUAACAAGCGAAAGCACAUUUUGAUGAAUUUGACCUCAAAUCAGGUAGGACUACCCGCUGAACUUAAGCAUAUCAAUAAGCGGAGGA